GUAGCUUCUCUGCCUUUUGGCUAAGAUCAAGUGUAGGAUCUGCUCUUAUCAGUUGCCAAGAGGAGGCGCUGUGCUACUGCCCCGACUAUGAGGGAGGUUGGGGUGGUGGCUAUACAAAUCCUUUUGGUGUAAUGGUUCCUAGAAGCUUAGUAUUGUUACGAGCCGAGUCCAGAGCAUCCUAA